GACGAACGCUGGCGGCGUGCUCAACACAUGCAAGUCGAGCGGUAAGGCCCUUUCGGGGGUACACGAGCGGCGAACGGGUGAGUAACACGUGGGUGACCUGCCCUUAGCUCUGGGAUAAGCCUGGGAAACUGGGUCUAAUACCGGAUAUGACUCCAUAACGCAUGUUGUGGGGUGGAAAGCCUUGUGCGGCUAGGGAUGGGCCCGCGGCCUAUCAGCUUGUUGGUGGGGUGAUGGCCUACCAAAGGCGACGACGGGUAGCCGGCCUGAGAGGGCGACCGGCCACACUGGGACUGAGACACGGCCCAGACUCCUACGGGAGGCAGCAGUGGGGAAUCUUGCGC
rnacentral:rRNA from 1 species